GAUUUUCUUCUCUAAUCUUUUUCUGUUUUGGUUUCUUUAUAAUAUUAUAUUGCUUAAUUGUUGUUUUUGGGAGUUUAAUAAUAAAUUCAAUCAUAGUGCUUGUUGUAACAAAUGUGUGGUUUUGGCCACCGGUAUCUUGUCGGGAUUUUGUUUUUGGUCCAGUGCUCUGUCUGUGGAUUUUUGGACUGGGUUUGAUUAACUUGUGCUCACUCUGAAGGCACAGUUUUUAGCAGGGAAUGAGUGUAUAUUUAUUUAUUUCUUUCAUUCAAGUUAAUUAACCUGAAUCAGGUUCCAUUGAGUUUGCUGCACAUCAUGUGGUGGCUUCUAACGCACCGGUUUGGGAGUUGAGGAUUUAAAGUCAUAUUUCAUCUUUCAUAAAUGGGAGUUUGAUAGUGAACAUCUCGUGCUUGAAAAAGAAAUUCGAUUUUAACCCUUCAUCUCGAUACCACUUGAGUUUUGCUAUAGUGACUUUGUCAGCUCUCCGUUGACAUCAAACUCAAUACCUAAUGCCUAAUGGAACAAAAAAAGCAACCAGAGAUGCUUAUCUUCUGUCACUUCUCCCACGUGAAGAGGAACCCCUGCAAUGAUUACGUGACUAAAAUCCAUCAUAUCCCAGUCCUCGGUUGGUUUGGUUUGUUGCAAAUGCGCAUCUGAAUCAGAAUCGCUCAGCAUUCUUCAUUUCACUACAUGGUCUCUUAUGCCUACCUAGCGGUCUCUUGUACCUCCCUCGUGUUAGAGCUGAAAAUUUUCAAUAUCUUCCUCUUGGUGUCAGCGUUCUUUCAAGGUAGAACUCAUAUAUCUUGAAAGCUACCGUAAAAUGAACUAGGUGUCCAGUUCAUAACCGCUAUUUAGCCCAUGAAUUCUGACUCAUAAUCAAUAUUGAAGACAUGUACAUGUCUUGUAUAGUUGUAACAUACGAACCUAGAAUUUAGAUUAAUUCAGUUAGAAAUUAUUUAGUUAUGUUAUUAUUUUAUUUAUUCUUUUUAUUAAUUAUUCAUUUAUUUAUCUUCAUAUGCUUAUAAUUAUUUAUUUGUUAAAUAAGAUAAUAAACCAGAUUAAGUAGAGUUUUAAAGAGGUUUCCUUUAUCUUGUAUUCUUUAUUUUUAUCGGAUGGAUUUCAAAUUGUUUUAAAAAAGAUUCUGAGAUCAGAACAACACUCAAAUCAGAUCCUAUCUAAACUCCUUCUGAAGAUCACGUAAAUAAGAAACCCUUUCUCCAUAAAACCCCACAUUACUCAGACUCUUCACACACAAAGAUAGGCAGAAAACUCACACCAGCCCAACGUAACAGCUCCUACAAACCUGGAAAACCACUCUCACAGCCAACCAAGGCAACCAACUCGCCAGAAACCGCCACAGAAAGUGCCGACCAGCCCAUUCACGUCGAACCCACUCCCUUCCGGUAAGCCCACGCUGGAAUCUUCUCUUCUUUCUCCCUUCUUGGUUUCGGUUUGACAGAUCUCUCUCUCUCUCUCUCUCUCAUGUCGUACACCAGAAACUGUCGGCCUGCUUGUGCCUCUGUGACCAGUACCAAGACCCACCAGUACCUUGAUUCUCCUUCUCUUGGUCACGAGCUACGACAUGAGAUCUCGGAAGCAGCACUAAGAGAUGGUGAUUAUGAUGAUGCAGAGCUGGAUGGCCAGGAGUAGAUUUAGUAUAAGGACUU